AGCAGUCAUAAGGAAGUCUACCUUCUCAUCGAUGACUGCUCGAUGCUGCAGUUGUGUGUCUAGUUCAUUGACCUGAGGUGCAUCGACAGUUCACCUUGAGUGUGUUAUAGUUUGACUACACCAUAACUCGGUCUCCUAGCCAUUCGGAACCCUGAGGUGUAUGUUGGCUGUAGCAUAUUCAUUGUAGGAACUAGAUCGCACCAAGAUGGGAUCUAUCAACCUCGGUAGAAGAGAAGAGUAGUCCUAUGGUGAUCGAAAGAUCGAGUCCUUAAGCCCAUGGCCAUGGCAGAGUGAAAUAAUGGAAAAAGAGUUUUCCAUUGGGGUUUCACAUUGGACUCAGAUCGAUCGAUUGAUUCAUAUGACUGAUGUUGGAUUUGACGAGUUCACCUUAACCCUAAUUCAGUUGGGACUCAUGAUAGAGGAACUCAAUCACACAGGUAGCUGCACUGAGAGGUUCAUCUUUAGUUCUGAUGGGUUG
rnacentral:lncRNA from 1 species